rnacentral:lncRNA from 1 species
AUGAGAAGGGAGGAGGACUGCUGCAUAUCCACAACUUGCUGUAUGUUGACCUUGGGAUGCACUGAAGGCUUCCCCUUCAGAAGAGAUUGCACAGCCAAAUACAGGAACAAGUUAUACAUUCUGUACCUGUUUCAUCACAUUCAGAUGCACGAAUGGUUGCAGGAUUUUACCUCAUGCUGCAGAGCGCCUGCGGAAGAAAAAAGGGAGGAAGAAGUAGUGGUGACCCAGUUUUUCGCACGUGUGUGCACACGGAAUGUCCUGGAUGCCCUACAAGUCAUUUUUGGUGAACAGUUUUCUUUGAACCGGGGUCAGCCUCAGUUUGUUGCUCCUGCUGAUGUUCCUGAGGAAGAGAAGCAGUACAGAGUGGAUGGUGUGCUCUGUGUUUGCAGCAGAUCGUGUACAUUUUUAUUUUUUUUUUAAAUAUCCUGAGCUGUGGUCCUGAUACUACCUCAUAGCAGGUGAAAUUGGGGUUUUAGGGCUGCUUUAGGUAUGUCCUCAGAUGUGUCUCUUGAGGCCUAUUGCCCCUUGGUGUCAGCUGUGCAGAGUGAGGGAGAGAGUUAGUAUUAACAGGGCUCUUCAAAAAUAUGUGGUGGCUAACCCUCAAAAUCCCAAUGCUGAAAUUGCAUUUAUCCUCUUUCAAAUGCUUUCUCUAACCAUAAGCUUAAUAUUUGCUUGCAGGGCAACCAGAGAUAUUUUUAACUGGAAGAGACCAGGCUGCAGGGAAGGGGUGUUGAGCCCAGGACCAGCAGAAUUUAGUGCUGCUUCUUGGCUCCAGCCUCCGUGAAGGGAAUGAAAGUCAACUUAUUUGCUUUGUCCUUGUACCAUUGCAGCAGCUUAGUGCCAGUGACAGCCUCAUGACCUCCUGGAGUUCUCCCAGCUUAAAUAUUUCCUUAAAACAGAUACCUACAGGGCUAGAUUCCAAGUAGUGUACCCCUUCUUAUUAGAUAUACACCUGUAUGGGUAAUUUACAUUUCAGGCAGUCUCAUUAUACAUUAUUCUUGACUGAGCAACA